CUCUUCACCAGUGUUUAAUUCAACCUGAGGAACCAGGAACUGAGGAGGAAGGAAGUAAUUGAUAUUCAAAGCCUCUAUUUUUAGACACCUUUACACUUUUCUUUUACGUCUAACUAGCAAGGAUUUUUCCAAACAAGCUUUUAAUUAGCAGGAAUUCUGUACUGAAGAUUGUGCAUAUUAGGACCUAAUAUGAGAGUAUGCUUCCAGAGAGAGAUGCCACCUGAAAUGAAGGGAGAAGACCUUCUCUCUGGCUGAAAUGUGCUUGGGAUGUAUUAUUGGCCUUUGUCCCACUCUCCUUUUUCCUUCCAGUCACCAUGGCUGUGCCCUGGACUGUUAGCACUCUCUAUAAAGCAGUUACAUCCAGCUGUUUAUUGCCUAAGCAUUCUGGGGCUUGCUUCGUCACUUGGCUUUGCUGUGGAGCACUCCUGUAGAGCUUACUGAAUUGCAUAUUGAAGAUCCACCCGUUUGGUCUCCCGCUAUGCUUGUUUGUAAACCGCAAAUGCAGUCGCCAAGUCAGAUUCAAACCCUGUGCACUAUCGAGGCCCUCUCGAUCCUUCCCCUAUCCUAAACUCCCUUCUGGACGACUGUGAUACUUAUCCUGAUUCCUAAGCAUGUGGACAUUCUUCAGCCUCUGCUAGGAGUGUCUUUUCCCUCCUUGGCCCCCUGAAGAAUAGCUGCUUAUUCCUUGCAUCUCAG
rnacentral:lncRNA from 1 species